rnacentral:lncRNA from 1 species
UGGGCAGGGCAGCAGAGCAGGAAGGUUCGAGGUCACUAUCUGAUAGCACAGAAUUUCUCUGUGACCACACAAAAGAUGUUAAGGCAAUGCAUGGUGAUAAUGCCUGCAAAGCAUUAUUGUACUUUACAGUACUGAACUAGACACUUAAACUUUCUCUAACAAUUACAUGUUAUAUAAAUUUGCCAUUGCAAAAUAAUGUGGGAAAUGGAGGUCAUAAUAAGACCUAUUAAAACAACUGUGAGAAAGGAAUGAGGUCAUAUGUGUGAAGCACUUAGCGCAAAGUCUGAGCGUACACUCUGUGCACAGAAUACCUGCCAUCUUUAUCCACUGACAAGAAGUCAGAAUCCUACGCUAUUGGAUGAAGAAUGAUUUUCUUCUAAUCAAGAACAAGUACCUUUUCACAAAUUCAACUAAGAUUGCAGGAUGCAGAGAUGCAGACAACGCAGACAACUGUGGCCAUUCCUUCAAGGACUUCAGCACACAGCCCAUGCUUGCCACACAACUGAUGAUCCUGCUUUUUGUACAGACAAGGCUGUUUGAGAACUCAGCUAAAUUCUCCUUUGAUCUCAGACCUGAAUCAAGGCAGGCUACCUUGACAUGAAUCAUUCCUACAGAACAUCUGCUAUUUCCAUUAGUCAGUUGUAUGGACUUUAAUUGACAAAUCAGUGCCUAUCCUUGUCAAGACCUUAGAAAGUGAAACAUAUCAUGAAAGAGCUAGCUGACUAGCUGUUACAAAAAAGAAAUGAAUGCCAUCCUCAGAGGACCUUGCUUCCACCUAUUUGGUUAAAUUUCUGGACGCUACCUGUCACAGUCCUUAAAUAGACAACGAAAUAAAAGAAAGCACAUGUCCUUUAUUUACUGGAGGCAGUACAGUGUUGUAAUAGCAGAGAGACUUAUGGCCGGACUGUUCAUAAUCUGGUGCCAACCUGUAAAAUUUUGCCUUUGUAUAAAAUCUAGUAGUAGCUUUUGUAAUGCUUUGUGCUUAUAUCAGA